AAUGAACGCUGGCGGCGCGCCUAAUACAUGCAAGUCGAGCGAGAAGACGUGGCAAUACGUUUGUAAAGCGGCGAACGGGUGAGGAAUACAUGGGUAACCUACCCUAGAGUGGGGAAUAACUAGCCGAAAGGUUAGCUAAUACCGCGUACGCUCCUUGGACUUCGGUUCAGGGAGGAAAGCGAUGCCGAGGGUAUCGCGCUCUUGGAUGGGCUCAUGUCCUAUCAGCUUGUUGGNGAGGUAACGGCUCACCAAGGCUUCGACGGGUAGCUGGUCUGAGAGGACGAUCAGCCACACUGGCACUGCGACACGGGCCAGACUCCUACGGGAGGCAGCAGUAAGGAAUAUUGCGCAAUGGGACGAAAGCCUGACGCAGCGACGCCGCGGUGGGGGA
rnacentral:rRNA from 1 species